CCAUCCGUCUCCGUAUCCACACAUAAAGCUCCACGGGGGCCAGGACUGGUGUUAGGCACCUAGUACCCAGUCAAUAAACAUUUGUUAAAUGAAUGAACAGAUGGAUGACCAACCUCCUUGGACCAUCUGGGCCAUGUUCCCAAAGACUUCCUCUUGACGGCCAAGUUCUGGCUCCGUACCACUGAGAGGCCUGCAGGGUUACCAAGAUGGGAGAAUUGAACACUGUGCCAAGCGCCAUCAGACAUUUGUAAAGCCCUCAGCCAAAAAUGUUAUUGGAAACAGGAUGUAUGUCUGUGCAGUAUGUGUUCAGCAUAAGGAUAGCCUGUGACUCCAGGAACGGACAUCCUCCCAUUCUGGGUGCAAAUCUCCUUUCUGGGAUGCUUUCCAUCAUGCAGCAGAAAGAAACUUGCUUCUUGUCAGAAUACCACUUCCUUCAAUCCUUCCACUUCACCAAAUCCCACCCAAUGAUCAGGCACCAAGGAUGGGAUAAAGUGGAUCAGAGGCGUGAGUUGGCCUGGGCAAGACCUGAAGAAGUGGGGGCGUGGGGGAACGGGUCGCAGAACUCAGAGCAGACUGUGAAACAGUCCAAGCCACCCCCAGCAGGACAAUGAGAAGACAGAUAUCAUCUGUAGACAGUGGGUUGCAUCUUGGGGAGCAGUGGGAAAUGUGGUUAGGUAAGCAUGGCUGGGAGAGGACAUAAGAGUUUCAAUUACCAAAUAUUAAUUUAUAAAUGAUUUAAUAAGUGGUAAGGAG
rnacentral:lncRNA from 12 species